AUACGGGGGGUGCGAGCGUUGUCCGGAAUCACUGGGCGUAAAGGGCGCGUAGGUGGUUUGAUAAGGGUGUGGUGAAAGUCCGGGGCUCAACUCCGGAUCUGCCGUGCCGACUGUCAAAUUCGAGGGCUGUAGAGGCAGACGGAAUUCCGGGUGUAGCGGUGGAAUGCGUAGAGAUCCGGAGGAAGACCGGUGGCGAAGGCGGUCUGCUGGGCAGUUUCUGACACUAAGGCGCGACAGCGUGGGGAGCAAACAGGAUUAGAUACCCUGGUAGUCCACGCCGUAAACGAUGGGUACUAGGUGCCUGGGGGAGCGACCCUCUGGGUGCCGGCGCUAACGCAGGAAGUACCCCGCCUGGGGGGUACGACCGCAAGGUUGAAACUCAAAUGAAUUGACGGGG
rnacentral:rRNA from 1 species